UUUUUUUAUUAAAGGAAGAAUCCUGCACAAUUGAAUGAAGAUUGUCUUUCCUGCUUUCUUUUCUUGCAGGAUAUGUUUGCUGGUGGAACUGAUACAACUUUACACAGUUCUAGAGUGGGUAAUGACCCGACCCUUAAGGCAUCCCAGAGUGUUGAAAAAAGUUCAAAAUGAGAUUAUGGGAAUUGCCAAUAGCAAACCAGACAUAGCAGAAAUUGACUUAGAUCAAAUGCACUACUUAAAAGCAGUGAUCGAGGCGCUUCGGCUAUAUCCUCCAAUACCUUUACUGGCUCCCCGAGAAUCAACCAAAGAUGUGAAGAUAAAGGGCUGUGACAUAGCAGCAAGAACCAUGGUCCUUGUCAAUGCCUGGACAAUUGGAAGAGAUCCCUCACUGUGGGAUGAACCGGAAAGGGUCUUGAACUCUGCUGUGGAUUUCAAAGGACGUGACUUCCAGUUAAUCCCAUUUGUGCACAAGUUUGACUGGGCAUUGCCUUGUGGAGCAAGAGCUGAGGACAUGAACAUGACAGAAUGGACAGGUCUUGUCAUCCACAGACAAGUUCCUCCUCUUGCUGUGCCAAAGCUUAGGCCUUUUUAGAAUUUCUUUGUUU
rnacentral:lncRNA from 1 species